rnacentral:rRNA from 1 species
CCUACGGGGUGCAGCAGUGGGGAAUAUUGGACAAUGGGCGAAAGCCUGAUCCAGCCAUGCCGCGUGUGCGAAGAAGGCCUUCGGGUUGUAAAGCACUUUCAGUGGGGAAGAAAGCCUUGGGGCUAAUACCCUCGAGGAAGGACAUCACCCACAGAAGAAGCACCGGCUAACUCCGUGCCAGCAGCCGCGGUAAUACGGAGGGUGCGAGCGUUAAUCGGAAUUACUGGGCGUAAAGCGCGCGUAGGCGGUCUGAUAAGCCGGUUGUGAAAGCCCCGGGCUCAACCUGGGAACGGCAUCCGGAACUGUCAGGCUAGAGUGCAGGAGAGGAAGGUAGAAUUCCCGGUGUAGCGGUGAAAUGCGUAGAGAUCGGGAGGAAUACCAGUGGCGAAGGCGGCCUUCUGGACUGACACUGACGCUGAGGUGCGAAAGCGUGGGUAGCAAACAGGAUUAGAUACCCUGGUAGUC